rnacentral:rRNA from 1 species
AUUGAACGCUGGCGGCAGGCCUAACACAUGCAAGUCGAACGAGCGGCGGACGGGUGAGUAAUGUCUGGGAAACUGCCCGAUGGAGGGGGAUAACUACUGGAAACGGUAGCUAAUACCGCAUACCAUCAGAUGUGCCCAGAUGGGAUUAGCUAGUAGGUGGGGUAACGGCUCACCAAGGCGACGAUCCCUAGCUGGUCUGAGAGGAUGACCAGCAAAACGGGAACUGAGACACGGUCCAGACUCCUACGGGAGGCAGCAGUGGGGAAUAUUGCACAAUGGGCGCAAGCCUGAUACAGACAUGCCGCGUGUAUGAAGAAGGCCUUCGGGUUGUAAAGUACUUUCAGCGGGGAGGCGUUACCCGCAGAAGAAGCACCGGCUAACUCCGUGCCAGCAGCCGCGGUAAUUC